rnacentral:lncRNA from 1 species
GAGUGUUUAAUUGAACAAUGAUUCAAAAAUUCAAUUUAAAACAGUAAGUUCUCAAUCAAAGAAGCAAAUAGAGGAGAAGGUGCGUGGCAAGGUGGUCACUAUGUGAGUGAGGUUUGGAGGUGCACUUGAGACCGCAUUGCUGAAACAGAUUCGUGAGAAGACCUCUGCAAACCACUGGUGUUAUUCUCUCUGGAUUUUCUCCUUCUUCCUUCUUGUGUUUUCUUUCUUUGUCCCAUAUUGGUCUAUGAGCUGUGCUUGAUAUUCUAGGGCCCCCUCCAUACCCUGGGCUCUUCCAUUUGAUGAGUCCGAGUCAUCUUCAGAUUGGAUAACCACGAUCUUCGUCAUAUAUCCUAAGCCCCUUGGUUUGCUAGUUGGUUGAGUUUCCUUGAAUCCCAAAUACUUCAAUAUUCCUCCCUGAGUGCAAUUUCUUGAUCGUUUCCUUGAUUAGUACUGAUUCUUGGACUGAUCUAACCAGGGAUCCUUGGAGAAUUCACAGAUUGAAGGAGCAGAAAAAAAAUAAAAAAAAAAUGAAGAGAAAAUCCAUCAUGAAGACCUUGUCGUUUGCAAUUGCACCAACAUUUUCUAAAGCGAAGCCCAUAGGCAACUGAUCUUUUCCCAGAACACAGUAAGCAUUAUCCCAUGACUAGACUGAACUAGUUCCUUUCAUUAUUUUGGAGUAGCCGAAUCUAUUGAGAACAAUCAAGUCCCCACUUUGAAAUGAUAGUCAGCACUUAGCAGCAUAUGAAUAAACGUUGAGAGGUUUUUCAAUAUUUCACAAAAAUUCUCUUCUCGCAUUUUAUUAGUUUCCUGUGAUUCAAGCUGGACAUCGACAACCUACUCAAAGUGAAUAUCAGGAUUUUCUAGGUAUGACAGUCCUUGUUCUUCUAUUUGGAUCUCAUUAUGAAG